CUUCCCUUUGUUGAUAUUUGGUGGCGUUCUCAUUGCGGCUGGCAUCCUGUCUCUGCUGUUACCAGAAACACUGAACAAGAGACUGCCAGAAACAGUCAGAGACGCGGAGAUGUUAGGAAAGCAUUGCGUUGAUGAGAAUGAACAAGAGAUGCCUGUCCUGAAUGGCGUGACCGGUUCUAUAGUUACAUGAUGACGACGUAGUGGUCGCCAAGACGUUGAUAUAACCACGUCCUACAUCCACAUACGUCGCGAUUGAUUCGAUGAAGUCCCUACCACGUCAAGCCUUUGGGGACAUUCAUAAUAAAAAAAAAAAUGCCAAACAAAAUAA